rnacentral:rRNA from 1 species
GCAUGCCUACAACAUAGUGUUAAUGCACCAUAUCCCAUUAGAACUACGUAGUUAAGCGCGCUCAGGCUAGAGUAGUACUGGGAUGGGUGACCACCCAGGAAUUCCUAGUGUUUUACAUGCC